GUUAAGCCGACGACGCUGACCUGGGAAAACGGGGAAAAAUUAACUUUUUGCGGCUUUCGGCCUGCACCGGGCCACGUCCGGCCGGGAAUCGUUCGUGUGGUCAAGGCCGCCCGCCCGUCCUUUUACCGGUGGCCAACCUACGUCAGCGGUGAGCCACUGGUCAUCUCGACGGCAGACACCAUCACGGUAAAUAAAUUGCCGCGUUGUGAAAUAGCUGAAGUUCUUCGCCUCCCGAGGCGGAACGAGUGUGUGAUAGGCAUCGGAAGAUUAUCUACGGCGGAGAGGCCGCCGGGUUUCCGUGAUUGGCCAUUAUAGAGAACGAGAACUUUGGGGACGCCGAAGAUAGUACGGCCCCGCAUCUGGGACAUGUCGGAAAAUACGACGAAACCGAUCCAGCUGGUUCUGCUGCAUUUGAUCCAGAAGGGUGCGACUGAGGAACCGCGACGGAACACUGCUGGCCACCGGAUCAUAUGACAGAGGCAAGCACCCUUGGCCAGCUCAAGGGACCGAUUUUUGCACCCAAGUGCAACAAAUGGGGCAACUACAUUCUGUUCACGGGUGUGGACAAAACGAACUUCUCUGCAACGCGGUCACCGGCCACGCAGUAGUUUAGCUCCCAUUCGGCGCCGGGUUUACCAGCUGCAGCACAGAUCAGUGCAUUCACAAGGACACGCCGAUCAAGUCGUUCCAGGGACACACGAUCGAAGUCAACGCCAUCUAGUAGGAUCGGCAUCAAAAUCGUGGUUGCGUGCAAACAUCCGGCGUGGGGGCAACUGAACGGCUGCAGCAGUUUCCCAAAUCAAAAGCUGUACCUUCCGGUGGGCUCGCCGGUGUAGCUUGCUGCGAAGGGAUCAAACGAGGGAGAAACUGCCGUAGCUCAGGAAAAAAUCUGGCAGAGUGGCAGCAGUAGAACCCGAGAUGAAGAGUCCAACGGAGCCAAAGGCAGUACAAGAAAGAGGAAGAAGAAGCAAAUAGAGUAGUAAAGAAAAUUAACAAGAUUUCUAGAGAUUUGUUUAAACUCAAACUAUGGGUUUUCUAAGACACACACAUUGAAUUGAUAUUAUACAUUGUAAUA